GGGCGCAGUGAGGAAAUUUGGACAAUGGGAGCAAUCCUGAUCCAGCCAUGCCGCGUGCAGGAAGACUGCCCUAUGGGUUGUAAACUGCUUUUAUACAGGAAGAAAAAGGUGUACGUGUACACUGUUGACGGUACUGUAAGAAUAAGGAUCGGCUAACUCCGUGCCAGCAGCCGCGGUAAUACGGAGGAUCCAAGCGUUAUCCGGAAUCAUUGGGUUUAAAGGGUCCGUAGGCGGGAUGAUAAGUCAGUGGUGAAAGUCUGCAGCUCAACUGUAGAAUUGCCAUUGAUACUGUUGUUCUUGAGUUAUUGUGAAGUGGUUAGAAUGAGUAGUGUAGCGGUGAAAUGCAUAGAUAUUACUCAGAAUACCGAUUGCGAAGGCAGAUCACUAACAAUGAACUGACGCUGAUGGACGAAAGCGUAGGUAGCGAAACAGGAUUAGAUACCCUGGUAGUCUAGCGCCGUAAAGCGAUGGUUACUAGCUGUUCGGCCUAAUUGUGGUCUGAGUGGCUAAGCGAAAGUGAUAAGUAC
rnacentral:rRNA from 1 species